rnacentral:rRNA from 1 species
AUUGAACGCUGGCGGCAUGCCUUACACAUGCAAGUCGAACGGCAGCGACGGGGGCAACCCUGGUGGCGAGUGGCGAACGGGUGAGUAAUGCAUCGGAACGUGCCCAGUAGUGGGGGAUAACUAGUCGAAAGAUUAGCUAAUACCGCAUACGACCUAUGGGUGAAAGCGGGGGACCUUUACCGGCCUCGCGCUAUCGGAGCGGCCGAUGUCUGAUUAGCUUA